CAGCCACACAUAAAAAGUAAAACAUACAGUUAAAGCUCAGGACUUUCUAGAUCACCUACAUGCAUAAUAUUUCUCUUUCAUUCAUUUGACUGGCUUCUUUGUCUACUUUCAGGAUAAACUGCUGAAGUUUGAAAUAAUUUUUAUGCUGUAACAUAGAGAAAAUUCCUAUGGGCGCAAAAACGUUUAAGCAGCACUGUAGAUGUUUGGGAGGAGCCACAAUCUAACAUCCUGAAAUUUAAGUUAGUGAGGUGAUGAAUAUACUAAACAAAACCGAAAGAUGCUAAAAUACACAAUAUACCACAAUAAUAAGUCACGGGAUGACCGCUGCUGGCCAGUUGUUAGUGAAACAACUACUUGUUAUUCACUUCCUGACCAUUAUGUGAAGCUUAUCCUCAGAAAGGAACGUGUGAUCUCAGUUUUAAGAUAACUAUCGGUGUUAGAUAGUAACUGUGACGUGACCUGGAAAGUUAGGCUUUUGUUUGUUGUUCAGUUUUAGGAUCUGUCCUUUGCUUAUUUAUAGUAUCAUUGUGAGGCUGGACUAGUUUGUUGUAUUCUGAACUUCAGUGCUAACCAGCGUUUACAGGAAGACGCUACUAUGACGUAACAAACAAAAAACAAGCAGUGACGUUUGUGUCUCUUUACAUGAAAUACACUACAAACAAAACGUUUUUAGGCGGCACUGAUGAUGGAUAGUUAAUUCGGUUCACUGGUGACAUUACAGCCACUGGAUUAACUUUUAAUUUACAAGGUUCGACGUCAAUUCGACGGCACAGCAAGUAUCAUCAGUGAGGGUGACUGAGCAUUAUUUUCUGGAGGACUGUGAGAGGCAAAAGGGAGGAAGUAUUCUCUAGCAAACUGGAAAACAUCAUCUGGUUUCCUCAACAACAAGAACUGUAGGAAGUCAGAGAUGAGAGCUCGGAUCUCAGGAUGCCGUCUCAGGGAAAGUCAUCAAUGGACCCAUGGCUUUGAGCGUGCAGCAGCAAACAGGGCUGCUGUACUCUAUGAGCAAACUCCAGCGUCACACUGAACUUCCCCAGGUCUCUGCCGCCCUCUGACACAGUCACCAGAGUGUCUGGAAACAAACACUUCACCAGCUCUGCGGGCUCUGGCAGAAGACGGGGACUCCGAUUUAAUUUCAACUGGGUCAACUCGGGAUGUGCCAAAAGCAGGUGGUGGGCGUACACGCCACCUGUUGAGACAUGACCGUCGACUCACCAAUGCUGGACAUGAAUGCGAUGGCUUCGUCGGAGGCUUUCAGCUCCUGUCCAUGGUUGCGCCCUUCA